rnacentral:rRNA from 1 species
ACACGACUACAUUAGAUACCCGUGUAGUCCUAGCCGUAAACGAUACUCGCUAGGUGUCGGCCACGGUGCGACCGUUGUCGGUGCCGUAGGGAAGCCGUGAAGCGAGCCACCUGGGAAGUACGGCCGCAAGGCUGAAACUUAAAGGAAUUGGCGGGGGAGCACAACAACGGGUGGAGCUUGCGGUUUAAUUGGAUUCAACGCCGGAAAUCUUACCGGGACCGACAGACAUAUGAUUGUCAAUCUGAAGGUUUUACAUGACUAGCUG